rnacentral:rRNA from 1 species
UCGCGAAAACUUUGCAAUACACGAAAGUGUGACAGGGUCAUCCCGAGUGCCGUCCGCUGAGGAUGGCUUUUACCCAGUCUAGGAAGCUGGGAGAAUAAGGAGAGGGCAAGUCUGGUGUCAGCCGCCGCGGUAAUACCAGCUCUCCGAGUGGUGUGGACAAUUAUUGGGCCUAAAGCAUCCGUAGCCGGCUAAUCAAGUUCCCUGUUAAACCCACCGAUUUAAUCGUUGGAUUGCGGGGAAUACUGCUAAGCUAGGGGACGGGAGAGGCCGACGGUAUUUCCGGGGUAGGGGUGAAAUCCUAUAAUCCCGGGAGGACCACCAGUGGCGAAGGCUGUCGGCUAGAACGCGCCCGACGGUGAGGGGUGAAAGCUGGGGGAGCGAACCGGAUUAGAUACCCGGGUAGUCCCAGCUGUAAACGAUGCAGGCUAGGUGUUUGGGUGGCCACGUGCCGCCCUAGUGCCGCAGGGAAGCUGUUAAGCCUGCCGCCUGGGGAGUACGGCCGCAAGGCUGAAACUUAAAGGAAUUGGCGGGGGAGCGACCACAAGGGGUG